rnacentral:rRNA from 1 species
AAUAUUUGAAAAUGGGGACAACCCUGAUCCAGCCAUGCCGCGUGUGUGAAGAAGGUCUCCGGAUUGUAACGCACUUUAAGAUGGGAGGAAGGGCUUUAGGUUAAUAACAUGAAGUUUGGCCGUUACCUACUGAAUAAUCCCCGGCUACUUCUGUUCCAGAAGCCGCGGUAAUACAGUGGGUGCAAGCGUUAAUCGGAAUUACUGGGCGUAAAGCGCGCGUAGGUGGUUCAGUAAGAUGGGUGUGAAAUCCCCGGGCUUAACCUGGGAACUGCUUUCAUAACUGCUGAGCUAGAGUACGGUAGAGGGUAGUGGAAUUUCCUGUGUAGCGGUGAAAUGCGUAGAUAUAGGAAGGAACACCAGGGGCGAAGGCGACUACCUGGACUGAUACUGACACUGAGGUGCGAAAGCGUGGGGAGCAAAC